rnacentral:rRNA from 1 species
UACAGAGGGCGCGAGCGUUAAUCGGAAUUACUGGGCGUAAAGCGUGCGUAGACGGCUAUCUAAGUCGGGUGUGAAAGCCCCGGGCUCAACCUGGGAAUUGCAUUCGAGACUGAAUAGCUAGGGUACGGUAGAGGGAAGUGGAAUUUCCGGUGUAGCGGUGAAAUGCGUAGAUAUCGGAAGGAACAUCAGUGGCGAAAGCGACUUCCUGGACCAGUACCGACGUUCAGGCACGAAAGCGUGGGGAGCAAACAGG